rnacentral:misc_RNA from 1 species
GAUGAAGAACGCAGCGAAAUGCGAUAACUAAUGUGAAUUGCAGAAUUCAGUGAAUCAUCGAGUCUUUGAACGCACAUUGCGCCCCCUGGUAUUCCGGGGGGCAUGCCUGUCCGAGCGUCAUUGCUGCCCUCAAGCACGGCUUGUGUGUUGGGCUCCGCCCCCCCGGGGACGGGCCCGAAAGGCAGCGGCGGCACCGAGUCCGGUCCUCGAGCGUAUGGGGCUUUGUCACCCGCUCUGUAGGCCCGGCCGGCGCCAGCCGACAACCCAUCAUCCUUUUCAGGUUGACCUCGGAUCAGGUAGGGAUACCCGCUGAACUUAAGCAUAUCAAUAAGCGGAGGA